CACGGACCGCACGAACGUUAUUCGGUAUCACUGGGCUUAAAGGGUGCGUAGGCGGCCUAGCAAGUUGGGUGUGAAAGCCCUCGGCUUAACCGAGGAAUUGCGCUCAAUACUGUUGGGCUUGAGAGAGACAGAGGUAAGCGGAACUAAUGGUGGAGCGGUGAAAUGCGUUGAUAUCAUUAGGAACACCGGUGGCGAAGGCGGCUUACUGGGUCGUUUUCUUGACGCUGAGGCACGAAAGCCAGGGGAGCGAACGGGAGU
rnacentral:rRNA from 1 species